CGAGAUAGUCCCGCCCAACUGCAGGGAGACUUUAUUCCUCGAUGAUCCUAAUACAAACUACGGGUCUGCCUUUAUAGUAUGAGGCGACCCUUCAAAAGGAACUAAAUAACUGAAACUGGAAGUAAACUAAUGCAUAUCCUUUAUUCUGGAAACAAACUAAUGCAUAUCUCCCUGUAAUAAAAACUUGCCUACUAACCGGAUUGCUAGCCACUUUUCUGAUCACUUUCCUUGUUUGAUUCUGCUGCUGGAUCCUGGCGCCUGCGCCUCUGGUACUUGCAGCCUACAAAUGCAUCAGUAACACACAGAUUGUUCAUAGCUGAGUAGUGAGGACACGGUUAAUUUAUGCACAUCAAUCAGGGUCUUUGGUUAUCAAGGUUAAUUGAACACUAUGGUGGUUUGCAUGAUACAUGUUGUGGAAUUUGGAUCAUUGGUCCAUGUUCCAGCAUGAUUAAUAAAGCCAAAUAUAUUUUCUUUGCCUCAUUUCCUGUUUUCAUAUUUCCUUGAUAAUGCUGCGGAAACAUGGUGGCCCUAUGUGAGAUCCUUAUAGUAAGGCUGAUUCUACAUGAACUUAAAUGUCAGUAAGUCUCAGGUUCAAGUACAUGAAUGUUCAACCAUGUCAAGACGUCAUUUUCAUUGCUUAGUCUCUCACCAGUAGUGUUGCGUUUAGUAUAAGCAGUAACAGAUAUAAUUCACUGCUUCUUUGUCCAGUUUUGCAGGUCAGUUUAUUUGCGGGUUUUCAUUUCAAGACCAGUGUUUCUCAAGCUUUUAUCGGAUGAUAAAUCAUCAAAGAAUUGAGAUAAUACGGGCAGUUACUGGUGAAAGGUACAGCCAUGCCACAGGUACUGACUCAUCGUAAUUUUUAGUUUAAUCUGAAUCAGCAAUAAUCUUAAUUGUGUUAUGUGCUUUUUCUUUUUUUCUUAAUUAUGAAUUCUAUGCACGCAUCAACUCAUUAACAAAUUCAGCUGGAAUCCAAACAUCAACAGUUUUCUUUGUCAACAACCAGUUUUUUUUGCUCUGUCGACAUCGGCGUUCAUCCAAACACGCCCAUAGGGCAUGUUCGGUUUUCACCCAAAUGGCCAAAUGUAUCAUGCACUAGCCAAGCC
rnacentral:lncRNA from 1 species